GAUGAACGCUGGCGGCGUGCCUAAUACAUGCAAGUCGAGCGAACAGAUGAGGAGCUUGCUCCUCUGACGUUAGCGGCGGACGGGUGAGUAACACGUGGAUAACCUACCUAUAAGACUGGGAUAACUUCGGGAAACCGGAGCUAAUACCGGAUAAUAUAUUGAACCGCAUGGUUCAAUAGUGAAAGACGGUUUUGCUGUCACUUAUAGAUGGAUCCGCGCCGCAUUAGCUAGUUGGUAAGGUAACGGCUUACCAAGGCAACGAUGCGUAGCCGGCCUGAGAGGGUGAUCGGCCACACUGGAACUGAGACACGGUCCAGACUCCUACGGGAGGCAGCAGUAGGGAAUCUUCCGCAAUGGGCGAAAGCCUGACGGAGCAACGCCGCGUGAGUGAUGAAGGUCUUCGGAUCGUAAAGCUCUGUUAUUAGGGAAGAACAAAUGUGUAAGUAACUAUGCACGUCUUGACGGUACCUAAUCAGAAAGCCACGGCUAACUACGUG
rnacentral:rRNA from 1 species